rnacentral:ncRNA from 1 species
CCCUGACAGUCGCAUUCUGUGGCUGACUUAACCCAAGACAGGAGAUUCUCAUG